GUGGGGAAUAUUGGACAAUGGGGGCAACCCUGAUCCAGCAAUGCCGCGUGUGUGAAGAAGGUCUUCGGAUCGUAAAGCACUUUCGACGGGGACGAUGAUGACGGUACCCGUAGAAGAAGCCCCGGCUAACUUCGUGCCAGCAGCCGCGGUAAUACGAAGGGGGCUAGCGUUGCUCGGAAUUACUGUGCGUAAAGGGCGCGUAGGCGGCUCUGUUAGUCAGGCGUGAAAUUCCUGGGCUUAACCUGGGGACUGCGCUUGAUACUGCGGAGCUUGAGGCCGAGAGAGGGUGGUGGAAUUCCCAGUGUAGAGGUGAAAUUCGUAGAUAUUGGGAAGAACACCGGUGGCGAAGGCGACCACCUGGCUCGGUUCUGACGCUGAGGCGCGACAGCGUGGGGAGCAAACAGGAUUAGAAACCCGUGUAGUCC
rnacentral:rRNA from 1 species